rnacentral:rRNA from 1 species
UACGUAGGGCGCAAGCGUUGUCCGGAAUUAUUGGGCGUAAAGAGCUCGUAGGCGGUCUGUCACGUCUGCCGUGAAAACCCGAGGCUUAACCUCGUGGCUUGCGGUGGAUACGGGCAGACUAGAGGUAGGUAGGGGAGAACGGAAUUCCCGGUGUAGCGGUGAAAUGCGCAGAUAUCGGGAGGAACACCGGUGGCGAAGGCGAUUCUCUGGGCCUUACCUGACGCUGAGGAGCGAAAGCAUGGGGGAGCGAACAGG